CUUGCUUUCUUUGCUGGCGACCGGCGCACGGGUGAGUAACACGUAUCCAACCUGCCCUUUACUCGGGGAUAGCCUUUCGAAAGAAAGAUUAAUACCCGAUGGCAUAGUUCUUCCGCAUGGUAGAACUAUUAAAGGAUUUCGGUCAUCGAUGGGGAUGCGUUCCAUUAGGUUGUUGGCGGGGUAACGGCCCACCAAGCCUUCGAUGGAUAGGGGUUCUGAGAGGAAGGUCCCCCACAUUGGAACUGAGACACGGUCCAAACUCCUACGGGAGGCAGCAUG
rnacentral:rRNA from 1 species